rnacentral:rRNA from 1 species
AUUGAACGCUGGCGGCAGGCCUAACCCAUGCAAGUCGAGCGAGCGGCGGAAGGGUGAGUAAUGUAUGGGGACUGCCCGAUAUAGGGGGAUAACUCCUGGAAACGGUGGCUCAUACCGCAUACAGUCGGAUAACCCAUAUGGGAUUAGCUAGUAGGUAAGGUAAUGGCUUACCUAGGCGACGAUACCUAGCUGGUCUGAGAGGAUGAUCAGCCACACUGGGACUGAGACACGGCCCAGACUCCUACGGAGGCAGCAGUGGGGAAUAUUGCACAAUGGGCGCAAGCCUGAUGCAGCCAUGCCGCGUGUAUGAAGAAGGCCUUAGGGUUGUAAAGUACUUUCAGUCGGGAGGCGUUACCGACAGAAGAAGCACCGGCUAACUCCGUGCCAGCAGCCGCGGUAAUAC